AAGACUAGAGUCACAUCUUGACAUGAUUACUUGUCCUGGUGUGCCAGAGUUCUCAAAGAGGAUCUGCUGGUCUUGGUUCACUGGUCGGGGCAGUCAGUACCCCUAUUGGUGCCCUGAUCAGAAACAUCC
ensembl:snoRNA